UUGGGACAAAUAUCUGGAUGCUGUGAUUUUUGGGCUGAGGACCAAAAAACACAUGACGACAAAGUUCUCCCCAUUCUUCCUCCUGUUUGGGACAGAGGCCCGCCUCCCGAGUGAGGUUCCGGAGGAUUACAAGAUUGACAUAGGCAUGGAGAAUGACCUUGACCAGGAGGUGGUGUCGGAGGCCAUUAAAAGGCAGGAUGCAAUUUAUAGUCUAGUGCGGGAAAACAUAGCCACAGCCCAAAACAAAUAUAAAUUGCCCAAAUCAUCAAAACAGGCAUGUUUUCAGGUGGGGGACAAGGUGCUGCGCAAAAAUAUUCGCAGUCAGCAAAGGAAAGGUG